rnacentral:rRNA from 1 species
UGGUUAAAAAGCUCGUAGUUGGAUCUCAACAGCCUUGAAGCGGUUAACUUUGUAGUUUUACUGCUUUAUAGGCUGUGCUUUUGCUGGAGGUUUAGGGGUGCUCUUGAUCGAGUGUCUCUGGAUGCCAGCAGGUUUACUUUGAAAAAAUUAGAGUGCUCAAAGCAGGCUAAAAUGCCUGAAUAUUCGUGCAUGGAAUAAUAGAAUAGGAUGUCGAUCCUAUUUUGUUGGUUUUCGGGACUCGACAUAAUGAUAAAUAGGGACAGUCGGGGGCAUUUGUAUUCAAACGACAGAGGUGAAAUUCUUGGACCGUUUGAAGACAAACUACUGCGAAAGCAUUUGCCAAGAAUGUUUUCAUUAAUCAAGAACGAAAGUUAGAGGUUCGAAGGCGAUUAGAUACCGCCCUAGUUCUAACCAUAAACGAUGCCAGCUAGCGAUCUGCCUGCGUUUUUACUGUAGACUGGGCAGGAAGCUUCCGGGAAACCAAAGCAUUUGGGUUCCAGGGGAAGUAUGGUUGCAAAGCUGAGACUUAAAGGAAUUGACGGAAGGGCACCACCAGGAGUGGAGCCUGUGGCUUAAUUUGACUCAACACGGGAA